rnacentral:rRNA from 1 species
ANCCUGNNCCNGCCAUGCCGCGUGUGUGAAGAAGGUCUUCGGAUUGUAAAGCACUUUAAGUUGGGAGGAAGGGUUUCUGGCUAAUAUCCAGGAAUUUUGACGUUACCGACAGAAUAAGCACCGGCUAACUUCGUGCCAGCAGCCGCGGU